CCUACGGGAGGCAGCAGUGAGGAAUAUUGGUCAAUGGGCGGAAGCCUGAACCAGCCAAGUCGCGUGAGGGAAUAAGGCCCUACGGGUCGUAAACCUCUUUUGCCGGGGAGCAAGGGCGGGGACGUGUCCCGGUCCGGAGAGUACCCGGAGAAAAAGCCUCGGCUAACUCCGUGCCAGCAGCCGCGGUAAUACGGAGGAUGCGAGCGUUAUCCGGAUUUAUUGGGUUUAAGGGGUGCGUAGGCGGGCUUUUAAGUCAGCGGUAAAAAUUCGGGGCUGAACCCGGUCCGGCCGUUGAACCUGGGGGCCUUGAGUGGGCGAGAGGAAGGCGGAAUGCGUGGUGUAGCGGUGAAAUGCAUAGAUAUCACGCAGAACCCCGAUUGCGAAGGCAGCCUUCCGGCGCCCUACUGACGCUGAGGCACGAAAGCGCGGGGAUCGAACAGGAUUAGAUACCCGGGUAGUC
rnacentral:rRNA from 1 species